UACGGGGGGAGCAAGCGUUGUUCGGAUUUACUGGGCGUAAAGGGCGCGUAGGCGGUCAGCACAAGUCAGUUGUGAAAUCUCCGGGCUUAACUCGGAAAGGUCAACUGAUACUGUGCGACUAGAGUGCGGAAGGGGGCAACUGGAAUUCUUGGUGUAGCGGUGAAAUGCGUAGAUAUCAAGAGGAACACCUGAGGUGAAGACGGGUUGCUGGGCCAACACUGACGCUCGAGGCGCGAAGCCAGGGGAGCAAACGGG
rnacentral:rRNA from 1 species